CGUCCAGGCUCGGAGGGCCAGCUGAGCAGAACGGAGGUGUGGGAAGUGGGCGCACCUCUGGAUUCAACCAAGGGGGAGAAGACCUGGCGUUGUGCUGAGCAGCGAGUGGCACGUCUGCCCCAUGUGAGGAGGAGAUUUGAGGACAAAGAUGGAAUCCAGGCCCAGAGCCCCUCCCACACCACUCUGCAAGGCCCUGUGUCACAGCGUGGAUCCAUCAUGUGACCAGGAACAGACAGCAGGCUCUGUGGGCCCGGCCCCGGGCAUCCUACAGAACAAGUUUCCCUCCCGCCAAGGCCACAGCAUCUGGAGAAGUCAAACCUAAGUGUCUCCAGGACUGAACCCAUAAAAGACAAGCUGGCCUGUGAUAGGUUAGAAGUAGCCCACUCCUCAUGAAUA